rnacentral:rRNA from 1 species
UAGUAUUAGUUAUGUUCUUGAAAAUUAAAAGAGUUGGCGGUAUUUUAGUCUAUUCAGAGGAACCUGUCCUAUAAUCGAUGGUCCACGAUCUUUUGUACUUAAUUUCUAUAAGUUUGCAUAUCGCCGUAGAUUGAAUAUUCUUUAAAGAUUAAAAUAUUCAAGAUUUUUUCUAAGGAAGGAAUUCAGGUCAAGAUGUAGCUGAUAGUUAAGAAGAGAUGGGUUACAAUAAGUAUACUUAUAACGGAUUAUUAGAUGAAAUUUUUUAUGAAGGCGGAUUUGAGGGUAAU